rnacentral:rRNA from 1 species
GACGAACGCUGGCGGCGUGCUUAACACAUGCAAGUCGAACGGAAAGGCCCUGCUUUUGUGGGGUGCUCGAGUGGCGAACGGGUGAGUAACACGUGAGUAACCUGCCCUUGACUUUGGGAUAACUUCAGGAAACUGGGGCUAAUACCGGAUAGGAGCUCCUGCUGCAUGGUGGGGGUUGGAAAGUUUCGGCGGUUGGGGAUGGACUCGCGGCUUAUCAGCUUGUUGGUGGGGUAGUGGCUUACCAAGGCUUUGACGGGUAGCCGGCCUGAGAGGGUGACCGGCCACAUUGGGACUGAGAUACGGCCCAGACUCCUACGGGAGGCAGCAGUGGGGAAUAUUGCGCAAUGGGCGGAAGCCUGAUGCAGCAACGCCGCGUGCGGGAUGACGGCCUUCGGGUCGUAAACCGCUUUCGCCUGUGACGAAGCGUGAGUGACGGUAAUGGGUAAAGAAGCACCGGCUAACUACGUG